UGAGUACGAGAUGCUACGGCAUCGAAGCAGUCUAUGUCAUACUUCCAAGAAAAGCUUGCAAUGUCAUAAACAAAUAAUGCCUGUACCAUAACCGACACAGGUGGGUAGGUAGAGUAUACUAAGGGGCGCGAGAUAACUCUCUCUAAGGAACUCGGCAAAAUGACUCCGUAACUUCGGGAGAAGGAGUGCCUUAUUUUUAUAAGGUUGCAAUAACAAGAUCCAAGCAACUGUUUACCAAAAACACAGGUCUCCGCUAAGUCGUAAGACGAUGUAUGGGGGCUGACGCCUGCCCAGUGCCAGAAGGUUAAAGAAGUUGGUUAGCAUUAGCGAAGCUGAUAACUGAAGCCCUGGUGAACGGCGGCCGUAACAAUAACGGUCCUAAGGUAGCGAAAUUCCUUGUCGGGUAAGUUCCGACCCGCACGAAAGGCGUAAUGAUUUGGAUACUGUCUCGGAGAGGGGCUCGGUGAAAUAGACUUGUCUGUGAAGAUGCGGACUACCUGCACCUGGACAGAAAGACCCUAUGAAGCUUUACUGUAACUUGAGAUUGAAAUUGGACUUUAUCUGCGCAGUAUAGGUGGGAGACGUUGAAAAUAUUCUUGCGGGAAUAUUGGAGUCAUCAGUGAGAUACCACUCUUAUAAUGUUAGAUUUCUAACUUUGUAUCAUUAUCUGGUCAAAGAACAGUUUCAGGCGGGCAGUUUGACUGGGGCGGUCGCCUCCCAAACGGUAACGGAGGCGCACAAAGGUUUCCUCUGAACGUGUAGAAAUCGUAUCUAGAGUGUAAAGGCAUAAGGAAGCUUGACUGUGAGACCUACAAGUCGAGCAGGGACGAAAGUCGGUCUUAGUGAUCUGACGGUGCUGAGUGGAAAGGCCGUCACUCAACGGAUAAAAGUUACUCUAGGAUAACAGGCUGAUCUCCCCCAAGAGUUCACAUCGACGGGGAGGUUUGGCACCUCGAUGUCGGCUCAUCGCAUCCUGGGGCGGUAGUACGUCCCAAGGGUUGGGCUGUUCGCCCAUGAAAGCGGUACGCGAGCUGGGUUCAGAACGUCGUGAGACAGUUCGGUCCAUAUCCGGUGUAGGCGUUACAAUAUUGAGAGGAGCCUUCUUUAGUACGAGAGGACCGAGAAGGACAUACCUCUGGUGUACCAGUUAUCGUGCCAACGGUAAACGCUGGGUAGCCAUGUAUGGAGAGGAUAACCGCUGAAAGCAUCUAAGUGGGAAGCCCACCUCAAGAUAAG
rnacentral:rRNA from 1 species